rnacentral:rRNA from 1 species
CAGUCGCCACGGGAAUACGUAGGGGGCAAGCGUUGUCCGGAAUCAUUGGGCGUAAAGAGCGUGUAGGCGGCUUGGUAAGUCUGCUGUGAAAGUCCAGGGCUCAACCCUGGAAUGCCGGUGGAAACUGUCAAGCUCGAGUCCGGAAGAGGCGAGUGGAAUUCCUGGUGUAGCGGUGAAAUGCGCAGAUAUCAGGAGAAACACCAAUGGCGAAGGCAGCUCGCUGGGACGGUACUGACGCUGAGACGCGAAAGCGUGGGGAGCAAACAGGAUUAGAUACCCCCGUAGUCCCUGUCUCUUAUAC